rnacentral:pre_miRNA from 1 species
GAUUGAAUGGUCUAGUGAGGGCACCGGACUGGCGCCCUUGGAGCCGCUACCGCCUCGGCGGGCAGCGCCCUCGGGUCGACGGAAAGGUGUCCAAGCUGGGUCAUUUA